GCUUUCGGUGGCGGUGAUCGGGGAUGGCAAAAGUUGAUACAAUGGCAAUUACACCUACCACUGUAAGAACUGCUGAUGCUGUAAUGGCCACCUUCACCUGUCAAAUUUCAUGUGUUUCAGAAACAAAAUAGCAAUAAAUGUGAACCUAACAGGUUAUUUCUUAUUAUAGAACACAUAUUCACUGAUCGUAUAAGAUUUUUUGCUAGUUUGUCAUUGGAGUUGAUGUUUGGCCAUUCUUUUUGUUUCUGCAAGAAAAUUAAUAUGAUGAAAACUUCAUGCUGUGGAUUCUAUGAGGGGGGAGAAAUGGGUGACAUUGGAUGCCAAUUGUAAGGAAAUGAAUGAGGUAAUUUUUCUCAUAUGUUAUUUGUUUUUAUCUGAAAUAUUUGUUGUCAUUAGUUAUUCUUUUGAAAGAGUUACCCUAAUUAUUAGGUUGUUAUAUUCUCAGCUACAAAUACUUCCAAACUUUGAAUUGAGACUGAAAUAAAUUUGUUUAUUUAUAGUUUAUUAGUGUCAAAUUUAUACUAUCUUGGUCAUUGAUUUUGAUUAAAUGUUAAAUACUUUGAUUUAUACACUGAGAAAAUCACUUGGUCUUGAAAGAGGUGGUAGAUCAGGAAUAAACUUGCCUUUCCUUUGGGUGAAGAAUACCAGAAAUAGAUGAGAACGUAAGAUAGUUCAAAGAGAACCCCAACU
rnacentral:lncRNA from 1 species